CAGUCGCCGCGGUAAUACGUAGGGUGCGAGCGUUAAUCGGAAUUACUGGGCGUAAAGCGUGCGCAGGCGGUUGUGUAAGACAGGUGUGAAAUCCCCGGGCUUAACCUGGGAACUGCGCUUGUGACUGCACAGCUAGAGUAUGGCAGAGGGGGGUGGAAUUCCACGUGUAGCAGUGAAAUGCGUAGAGAUGUGGGGGAACACCGAUGGCGAAGGCAGCCCCCUGGGCCAAUACUGACGCUCAUGCACGAAAGCGUGGGGAGCGAACAGGAUUAGAUACCCCGGUAGUCCAUGUCUCUUAUAA
rnacentral:rRNA from 1 species